rnacentral:rRNA from 1 species
UACGUAGGGGGCAAGCGUUGUCCGGAAUUAUUGGGCGUAAAGCGCGCGCAGGCGGUCUUUUAAGUCUUGUGUUUAAGCCCGUGGCUCAACCACGGUACGCAUGGGAAACUGGGAGACUGGAGUGCAGGAGAGGAAAGUGGAAUUCCACGUGUAGCGGUGAAAUGCGUAGAGAUGUGGAGGAACACCAGUGGCGAAGGCGGCUUUCUGGCCUGUAACUGACGCUGAGGCGCGAAAGCGUGGGGAGCAAACAGG